GGGUAGUUGACUUCGUCAGUUGCCUGUAUAACCCUAGUAAGCGUCACAGUGGGGGUUUUGGGUCGUUUUUGUUGGCGACAGUCAAAAUAAAAAGACCGGUCAUUUCCCUGACGACGGUCGUGACAACCGCGAGCUGAGCCCGACAUCUACCGUCACCCUGAACCGUUCUGAGAGCGCCUUAAAUGCACGUUCAGGAGGGCGACUACAUACUAUCUUCUGACGAGGAGGGACCUAGGAACCUUGUCUUGGAACAAGAGCAUCCACUGUUUCACCCAGAGGUCCUCAACCAUGCACAGCCUCAACCUCACCCAGCAUUACCUCAUCCCGAGCUCAACAACGCAGACGAUGACAUGGUAGUGUGAUUACCAACAGGUUAUACACAAGCAAAGUGUAAUGUGAUUAUUUCUCUAUCUCUCAAGUAUAUGGCCGAUGAUGACGAGGAGGGAGGACUAGGUGGUAAUCUAUGGAGGCCUAACUAUACCAAUCCCUUUGAUUCUCUUCUGGGCGCAAUAGAGGUUGUGUUCUUUGAAAAUGGAUACUGUCACUAUGUCCUGCUGUGGAUAUGGAUGUAUUGUACUAUUCCAAUGCAUGUGACUGGUUAUUCCAUCUCUGAACAAUACUGUCUUUAUUCACAUGUGGACAUUGUAUACUACACCACAAGCACUUUUGUAAUGGCACAUGUACCAAGAGAUAUGACAGUGAUUUCUUACGCUAUCCACCUACGUCUUUACUAAUCUACACAGUGUGUUGCAUAUCUGACACCUGGUGGAUGUUCCAGUUCUUCAUCCCCAACCAUCUGGUUCAUGGGUCGGGUUGUCAAUAUGACCCUUUUACAAGAUGCUGAUGUGGGACACGUGUGAUCUCUGAGAAGCUGUCCCAAUCGAAAAAAACAAACAAGUUAUCAAACGCCACCUUGAAUCUCGUUCCCUUUGCAGUUUACCAUAUCAAAAAGGUUUCCCAGACUGUCCUCAUCCAUAUAAUGGAUUGCGUAGUGACACUGACCGCUCUGAAGAAACAGUUCCCCUUUUAUUUUCACAUUCUUACAAGGAGCCCCUCACACACCAGACGCAGUAUGACUUAGAGACGUCUUCUUACACACCACCUUCAGCCUCGUACACAGCCACUGGGCC